CUUUAAGGGAGGCCCCGGAGCCGCGGCGUCCGCGCGCGAUCCCGGAAGUGGCUGGGACUGUAGUCUGUUCUACUCCAAAAGGUUCCGCUUCCCCUGUGUGAAGGAAAACCUAAAGGCCUUUCCUUUGGAAAUACAAGAAGGCAUGGAUAAAAGGAAGCCCCGGCAUAAAUCCUGCAAAAAAAAUGGAUACAAAGCAUAAAUCUUGAAGGACCAAGAGUGACAGUUCUUUGGCUGGGGUUUCUCCUCUGCUUGGAGACUAUCAUGUUGCUCCUUUUAAAGACGUGACCUUCAUCAGCUCACUACUACUGGAGAGAGCAACACAUCUCCUUUCCCUUGGCUUGGGUUCAGACAUCCCCGUGCAGUGCCUGCCGUGCCAGGGAGCAGCUCUGAGGUGCUGAGGAGCCAGAAAGGAAAGCAGACGAGCCUGCUGUCACCAUGUGAAAUGCUUGCAGUAAGAAACCAAACAGCACAGAGCAGAGGAACCAUGUCCAGAUCUUCACAUUUGCUAUUUUAGUGCUUUGUGUUGUUCUUGACACUCCUACAGUGUUGCGAAAUUCCAAAACAGAUUGACCUGGCUUAAUUCAGUAUAUACCCAAGAAAGUCAGUGUACACCAAUUGUUAAUCUGGCAGUGCUGUCCUGGUAAGAUUACACUGGGCAGGGAAUUUAAAGCUUUAUUUUUAAGUCUAAAAUAAAAGUGCUGUGAGAAAAUGUCAUAAAUACAAUACCUAAAUUUUUCAAUAUGGUAAUCUUAAUGCUAUCACAGCAUUGAGACUGAAGGUUGAUGCUUCUGCAAUCAAUAAAAAUAUUGACAAGUCCCUUGCA